UUUUGAAAUAGCACAAAUACUUUUAUUGCUUAUUGAGCUCUUGUGCUUGUGACGCACUCACUGUAUCAAGUGCUCUGUAUGGAAAUAGCAAGUGGGUGAAAAUCGCCUGGCUGUUCGCAACAUGCAGGGAGAAAGAGCUCAGGCAACACAGGAGCAGUAAAUGCGCAUUUUUUUAAAAAGCUCAUCUUUUUUUCAAUGUUGUUGCAUAUGUUGCAUUUCCGUCGUACAUGUUCUCAGCACAAUUGCAUAGUCGCACGGUUAUUUCUACAAAUCGUAUUUGACCUGAAUACACGCUUGUUGAUCUCUGAAGGUGACUCUCCCUAUGCCUGAGAGCCAUGGGUGCUCACCCUCCUGUCCGUGGCUGGCCCAGCUGAGCAGCAGUGCAGUGCAGCCCCCACCCAUGCAAGACAAGUCAUACAGUGCACCUUUGGUGUUCUGAGCACGACACAGCAUAUCCGUCCGGCAUGGCAUUGACAGCAAUAGUGAUGAUGUACCACGGGAUCAGGUGCCUCACUGUCAUCUAAUUGUACAGUGUAUCUCGGACAAAACGCACAAGGCCAACAAGUAGACAGCGACUACCAGUUGCUGUGUCCUGCUGUUCAAUGUGCACGUCAACAGACAGAAUGCAUUGUGAUAUCUGGAACAGUUUGAAUUGUAUGGUGAGAAUCUGCACAGCUGCAGUUUAAUUGUUGAGCAGUGCAUCAUUCAGCAAUUCUUUGCACUUGAGGAUUCAAAAUUAAUUAAAUUCCGCAUUUAAUAUACAAAACCUUGACAUUAAUGUACAGUACACUGUAGUAGUAGUGUGCAAAUUAAUUUCGGCUACCUUGAAUUUUUAACAUGCUCGUAAAUCAAAGUGCAUGUGUGUCUCUGCAUUUCACUGCCAUUAGAAACAGCAGCCAUGGUCGGCAACCAAAACCGUGUUUUCAUGUUUGGUAGUGCAAGAAUGAAACCAUUGAAGUGGGUAAUUUUGCACUUGGUCGAUAUAGUCGUUCAGGAUACGCGCAUUAGUAUAGCACAAAUGAUUUUCUGUUUAUAUAAGCUCUGGAAAGUCCUUCUCCACGGAUUAUUUAGAUGCAAGAGGAGCGUCACUAUUCCUAGUACGUCCAACAAGUUUUAGCACCUGUGUAAUGUUAUCCCGUCGCCUGUCUGUCCUCUUCAACAGUGACCCUCUCUGCAUGUACUGUGUAAGUUUUAAUUUUUUUUUCAUAUAGUGUUUGUUGCCAUAGGUUUCUCCAUUAUGUAAUUGUAUACUCUGCAAAUAGUUUAUCAUCUAUACAGCUUUGCUCAUUUUACAGCUGAAAGUAUUUAUUGCUUUUUGUAGGGUGAUUAUAGCAUGCAUUUACUUAUGCCUUUUGUUGCGUCUGUACAAUGGUUUAGCCUGAAGAAGGCUGUUGGUAUACUCUAAUCUUGAAACUGGCGACUUCAAACAAAUUUCUAGGCUGAUAACCAUUACUACUAUCAUCAGAUAAGCUGUGAUUGCUCCAUGAAAAUGUAUUUAAGAUUCUGUAAACUGUGCCAGGUAAAUGUUUUUAAAUGAUUUUAUUGUUGUCCAUGUUUUAUGCGCCCGAUACAUAAUUACUUCAUCGUGGUACAUUAUAAAAUGUUAUUCUGCACAUUUCUGCUGAUAAACAUUGCAGCUGAGGCCAGCAGCAAGAUAUACAUGCAAGGCACUGAAGCUUCACAUCACAUGCCUUGUCCAGAAGUGCACUGAAAUUUUUUUUCGAGCGGAAUGAGAGACUGCUAUACAGCAGUCUCUCAAUGUGCACACUUCUAAACCUUUUUGAGGAGUGUUUUCAGGAGAAGCAAUAGGGUCUUGACAUGUCAACAACAGCAUUUUUUGUACCGAGGAGCUUAGUAACAGCGAAUUGUUUUAUUUAUGUAUUGGUCCAGAAUUUGUCCGACCUGUGCCAAUUUUUCAGCCCACGUCACCUAACAUGGCUUGUUAUAGUGUUGUCAAUGUGCCCGACUAUGUAAAUAAACUAUGUGUCAUAUUGCAGACAUGUACCAAAAUGUGA